rnacentral:rRNA from 1 species
UACGGGGGGGGCAAGCGUUGUUCGGAAUUACUGGGCGUAAAGGGCUCGUAGGCGGCCAACUAAGUCGGAUGUGAAAUCCCCAGGCUCAACUUGGGAACUGCAUCCGAUACUGGAUGGCUUGAAUUCGGGAGAGGGAUGCAGAAUUCCAGGUGUAGCGGUGAAAUGCGUAGAUAUCUGGAGGAAUACCGGUGGCGAAGGCGGCAUCCUGGACCGACAUUGACGCUGAGGAGCGAAAGCCAGGGGAGCAAACAGG